AACAAAAACACUCGAUCCCAACAUCCGCUGGCGAUGAGGUGGUUAUUAGGAGAACAAAUAAAAAGAGACACGCUCAGGGAGCAAAGUUGGACGGUGCUAGCGUUAGCUGAGCUAACGGUUACGACGAUUGACUAGUUUGGCCAAACGGGACGAGCAGGAGGGUAGAAACGACAGUGAUUUGGACUAAAGUCACGACCAGAUGACACGAGUCCAUCUUGUUCGGGCUUGUCAGUGUGUCCAAAACAAAACCUCAAAGUCGCUCGAGCUGACAAACAUCAAACAAGGUGGCUAGCAGGCCUAGCUUAUCGAGCGAACUUUCCCUGUCGCUUCUAUUUUCCUGCAAGACUUUUCCAGGAUAUUUUCACGCCCUUGUGGAGUUAACCGUCGACAACUGGCAGACUAGCCAGGGACGACUGACUCGCACUUGGCGGACGGACUGACGGAUAUACAAGGCCCCAAACUGCCUGACAAUCUGAGCCGACAAAUGUGACAAUUGGACACCAAUGGAUUGAAUGAUGGCACCCGACACGAUCCCAAAUGAGUAGCCGAGCAGGUUGCCCUCCUCACUUUCGUUCAGAACCUCCACCAGCUCGGCGCAGUUUUCACACAUCGUUGGCGCAGAGGACGGCUCGAGUGCUCCGCGUCAAACCAUCCUCCGGACGGGGGGAAGGAAGGCGGCUGGACGGCUGACGGCCGGGGCUGGCCUUUGACUUCCAGGCUGCUGCUUGGGCUCCCAAAUAGAAG